GCACUUCAAAUUUUCGGUACAGAAAACAAAUCCAAAGGAAUUUUUUUUAAAAGUUAUGUUGGGGACAGGAUUGGAAUUCAGGAGAACUCGAGGCGAAGUUCGGUUCUACAACCCGCCCAAUGCCAGAAGAGAGAACCGGAAUCAGUAAAACGAUCAGCCAUGGAGGGAUCAAACCGAUGUUUGCGCGAGGCAAUCGACGGAUAAACCCGUUGCCACUCAUGUGAACCGGGAGUCUGAAAAGGACAAUACCAAACCGGCCUCCAUUCCCUCUUCCGAACCGGUUGUUUCCCCUUUGAGUAAUUUAGAGCGGUUUUGGGGUCGGUCAUGCCUUCCGUCCCUGCGCUCCAUCUCUCUAAGACGACGAUGUGAGGGUGGCGGACCCGUAACGUUGAGUUUGAGCCAUAUUUUGUGUAAGGUGAUUUAUGGGAGUCGUUCAAAGAGUGGAGUGCAUAUGGAGUAGGUGUCCCACUAAUUUUCAAUGACUGUGACUCUGUUGUUCAGUACUAUGUACCUUAUUUAUCCGGUAUUCAAAUAUACGCCUAUCACAUGAAGAUGUCUGCCAAGUCAAG